CAGCCGCCGCGGGAAUACGUAGGGUGCAAGCGUUAAUCGGAAUUACUGGGCGUAAAGCGUGCGCAGGCGGUUCGCUAAGACAGAUGUGAAAUCCCCGGGCUUAACCUGGGAACUGCAUUUGUGACUGGCGGGCUAGAGUAUGGCAGAGGGGGGUGGAAUUCCACGUGUAGCAGUGAAAUGCGUAGAGAUGUGGAGGAACACCGAUGGCGAAGGCAGCCCCCUGGGCCAAUACUGACGCUCAUGCGCGAAAGCGUGGGGAGCAAACAGGAUUAGAUACCCGCGUAGUCCCUGUCUCUUAUAC
rnacentral:rRNA from 1 species